AAUUGUUUUCAGACGGGUCGUUCGACAUUACGCGCGACUGGAACUAUGGUCCGCUGGUUUAUACGCAAAUGUGAGUCAAGAAUCAGGGGCAUUUUAAUCGAUAUUAAAACGAGAAUGAGAGAUGCAGUGUGAACGCACAAGGAAACAAAUGAUGGGAGGGGGGGAGGGAAGAAGGAGUGUAUGUAUUUUCAGCACGAAAUUAAACAGGUGUGGUCACACUAGCACAAAUGCACCGGAUCCC
rnacentral:lncRNA from 1 species